CGAGUGGAACAUACGGCGGCGGGCCGCCGGCUGGCGACAGCCGCGGCCUGAGGAAAGUCCGGGCUUCACAGAGGCAUGGCAACUGCUAACGGCAGCCGGGGGCGACCCCAGGGAAAGUGCAACAGAAAGAAACCGCCGUGCUUUGGCGCGGUAAGGAUGGAAAGGCGAGGUAAGAGCUCACCAGCGCACUGGCGACUUUGCGGCUAUGUAAACCCUGUCAGAAGCAACAUCCGUAUGGGACAUAUGUGGAAGCCUCGCACGUCCCGGAGAUGGCAUGCCGGCGGACCCCCGCGGCCCGCGGGCGGAGCCUUGCGGCAACGCAAGGUCAAGAUAGAUCGUCGUUUAAUACAGAACCCGGCUUACGGUCCAGUCGUUUA
rnacentral:RNase_P_RNA from 1 species